AUUGAACGCUGGCGGCAGGCCUAACACAUGCAAGUCGAGCGGAUGAAGGGAGCUUGCUCCUGGAUUCAGCGGCGGACGGGUGAGUAAUGCCUAGGAAUCUGCCUGGUAGUGGGGGAUAACGUCCGGAAACGGGCGCUAAUACCGCAUACAUCCUGAGGGAGAAAGUGGGGGAUCUUCGGACCUCACGCUAUCAGAUGAGCCUAGGUCGGAUUAGCUAGUUGGUGGGGUAAAGGCCUACCAAGGCGACGAUCCGUAACUGGUCUGAGAGGAUGAUCAGUCACACUGGAACUGAGACACGGUCCAGACUCCUACGGGAGGCAGCAGUGGGGAAUAUUGGACAAAGGGCGAAAGCCUGAUCCAGCCAUGCCGCGUGUGUGAAGAAGGUCUUCGGAUUGUAAAGCACUUUAAGUUGGGGGGAAGGGCAGUAAGUUAAUACCUUGCUGUUUUGACGUUACCAACAGAAUAAGCACCGGCUAACUUCGUG
rnacentral:rRNA from 1 species